rnacentral:rRNA from 1 species
GACGAACGCUGGCGGCGUGCUUAACACAUGCAAGUCGAACGGAAAGGCCCUGCUUUCGUGGGGUGCUCGAGUGGCGAACGGGUGAGUAACACGUGAGUAACCUGCCCUUGACUUUGGGAUAACUUCAGGAAACUGGGGCUAAUACCGGAUAGGAGCUCCUGCUGCAUGGUGGGGGUUGGAAAGUUUCGGCGGUUGGGGAUGGACUCGCGGCUUAUCAGCUUGUUGGUGGGGUAGUGGCUUACCAAGGCUUUGACGGGUAGCCGGCCUGAGAGGGUGACCGGCGACAUUGGGACUGAGAUACGGCCCAGACUCCUACGGGAGGCAGCAGGGGGGAAUAUUGCACAAUGGGCGGAAGCCUGAUGCAGCAACGCCGCGUGCGGGAUGACGGCCUUCGGGUUGUAAACCGCUUUCGCCUGUGACGAAGCGUGAGUGACGGUAAUGGGUAAAGAAGCACCGGCUAACUACGUG